CUAAGAUGCAUAGAUCAAAAAUAUUAUUCAUACCAUCACUUAUUUUACUUCUGUGAUAAAAAUGGAAUCUACAUAUGUUAGUAGGUGAUGCCUAAUAUAAAUGAUGAAUAAAUAAAUUAUAAAUAUAGCAUUAUCCUGUACAGAUGUGAUUCUCUUUUGACGUUAGAUAAAGAGCCAUACACAUCCAUCAUUAGUCAAGUUGGAAAAAAGGAAAGAUGGAAACGAAAAGAGAAAGUUCAAAAAGCUAAUAUUCACAUAAAAAAAUAAAAAAUAAAAAAACUUAAAAGGUUAAAUCGAGAGGUAGGUAGGGUUAGGGCAGGGUAGUAACAGAAGAAAGGGCAAAAAAGGAAACGAAAAAUAGCCUUGGCCCUUCUUCUACGUCCCAAUUCCCAUAUAUAAAGGAGGGGUGUGCAGCAUCGGAGAACCCUAAAGACAUGGAAAAAGAGGGGUGGAAUAGGAAGGCGAUGAGGAGGUUUAUGGAGUGGAAGGGUAGGAAAGAAGCAACUUCUCUUUUUGGUCUCAAAUCCUAAAGAUCGAAUUUCUUUCCUAACCCUCCCAUUCCUUCAAUUUCCUAAAGUUUCUCUCUUUUCCUUUCCCCUCUUGCGGAUUUUAACACACAUACCAGCAAAUCGUUUGUUUGGUUGAGGGAGGAAGCGUGAGUGAAAAGAGAAAAUUAUGAAGUACGGGGAAAGAGAUGAGUUGCAUAAAUCUGUAAGAACAGGGAUUUUGGGAAGAACACGAAAUUAUUUCAAGAGCUAUCCCCAAAACUGCUUAUUCUAAUGACCCUCUGCAUCUGUUUCUCUUUCCCUUGCUUAUCCUCCAUCAGCUUCUCCUUCUGCUCUGAACUUGUCUGAUGUGAUCUCAUUUUCAUUUUUAUUGUUUGUCUUCCUUCGUUAAUAUAUGUCUUUUGCAGAUAGGAUUAUGUUCCCUCUUAUUCUCAUCAUUUUCCUACCCUUUCUCUCACAGAUUGUUUUUUGUGUUAUUCUGCUAAUUAAAAAAUUAACAUAAAAUAUUAACGUGACUUAAACGUAACCCUUCAAACCUUCAAAUAGAAGGGGAAGAAAAAUGAUAGAAAUUAGAAUGGGAGAAAAUUCUAUUCCAUCUUUAUUCGUUAUGCUUUUGGUUAUUAGUUACAUUUAUUUGGUAAAAUGGUUAUUAGUCACUUUGAUUUGCCCAUUUUGUGGAUUCAGUCAUCUUCUCUACGGUUCUUCUCUCGGAGUGUAGAAAUUUGUUCAUAGAGAACUAAAGUUGUAAUUUGCAGUAUUAAAGCUUAACUUUACGGCUGAUAGGCUUGCCGAAUUAGAUUUAAAUUGCUAAAUGAAUCUUCAUGAGCUUGCGGAGCUUCUUAAUAAGUUCAAACGCUUUCUAAUGACUGGUCUGAAUUUUCUAAUGCUAGACUAGUUAUUUUAAGUUUUGUACUUCUUUCAAUGUUACCUAAUAUUAGUAUUUUUUUUUGUUUGGAACCUUCUUGGAAAAGGUUUGGAUCAAGUUUAUUUUAAUAAAAAAUUAUGGUAUAAUUUUAUUUAAUGAAAAAUAUUUAAAUGUUAAUGAAAAAUUCUUAAAUUUUAAUAAAAAUGACAAAAGAACUUAAAUUUUAAUGAAAAAGAUAAAAUUUUAAUAUUAAAAAAAAUCUGAUGUGCUGACGCAUACGUUUUCACACUGUUUAUGAAAUUUACUGCACUAGUUAUAAAAAUUUAGGAUACUGUUUAUAAAACUUAUUAUACUACUAAUUCAAACGUGCCACGCAGAGUCUUCCAAAACAUGGACAUGGAUAUCAUCCUGGGUCGUCGUCACCUUCGGUGAUAACAAAAUCAGUAUGCGCUUUUGACAGGGUCAGAAAAGCAAGGAAAGCCUGUCGUAGUAAUAUUGGUGGGUGCGCCUGGAACCGGCAAGUCCACCUUCUGCGAACAUGUCAUGCGCUCCUCCUCCACUCUCCCUUGGUACACGUUUGCGGGAUACUAUAAAAAAUGGUAAAGCCGAAACGAAAGCGCAUUUUAUAGCAAGAACAAAAGGAUGUGAAGCUUGGUGGUAGUGCCCAGGUUGAUGUUCAUGAUGUGGUGCUUGAUCUUCCCGCCAAGCUUUGUAUUUCGUGGUCUGUGAAGGGAACGGGACAUGAAGGAAACUUACAAGGUGGGAGAGCUGAUGCGGUUGUGAAUAGAAUGAUCCAGAAGACAGAACUGUCUAAGCUGGGGGGUAGUAGUUGGUUAGAAGCGAAGUUGUUUGAUGGAGUUUUUGGACGCGCGCACAGAGAAUUUUUUUUUUUUUUUCCUUUCUUUUAUGUUUUUGUUCUUAUUAUUAAAUAAAGUUUGUGUAUGGUUUUUUAUUAAAAUGCAAAGAUUUAAAAUC